rnacentral:rRNA from 1 species
GACGAACGCUGGCGGCGUGCUUAACACAUGCAAGUCGAACGCUGAAGCUCAGCUUUUGUUGGGUGGAUGAGUGGCGAACGGGUGAGUAACACGUGAGUAACCUGCCUCCUUCUUUGGGAUAACGCCCGGAAACGGGUGCUAAUACUGGAUAUUCACUGGUCUUCGCAUGGGGGUUGGUGGAAAGGGUUUUUCUGGUGGGGGAUGGGCUCGCGGCCUAUCAGCUUGUUGGUGGGGUGAUGGCCUACCAAGGCUUUGACGGGUAGCCGGCCUGAGAGGGUGACCGGUCACAUUGGGACUGAGAUACGGCCCAGACUCCUACGGGAGGCAGCAGUGGGGAAUAUUGCACAAUGGGCGCAAGCCUGAUGCAGCGACGCCGCGUGAGGGAUGGAGGCCUUCGGGUUGUGAACCUCUUUCGCUCAUGGACAAGCCGCAACAAUGGUUGUGGUGAGGGUAGUGGGUAAAGAAGCGCCGGCUAACUACGUG